AGAGUUGGUUGGACAGUCGCUGCCGCAAGGUGGAGGAAAGUCCGGGCUCCAUAGGGCAAAGUGCCAGGUAACGCCUGGGAGGCGCGAGCCUACGGAAAGUGCAGCAGAAAGCAAACCGCCUAAGCGCGUAAGCGCCGGUAAGGGUGAAAAGGUGCGGUAAGAGCGCACCGUGCGACUGGUAACAGUUCGUAGCGUGGUAAACCCCACUUGGAGCAAGACCAAAUAGGAACCCGUUGGCGUGGCCCGCGCUGGGUUCGGGUAGGUUGCUAGAGGUCGUCAGUGAUGGCGAUCCCAGAGGAAUGACUGUCCUCGACAGAACCCGGCUUAUAGACCAACUCUUUCU
rnacentral:RNase_P_RNA from 2 species